rnacentral:lncRNA from 1 species
UUGCGGAGCCCUCUCUUGCUCCUCCUCGAGCUCCCUGUUCAUGGUCCUCUGCGGGUAGGGCUCAGGGGGAAGCGGGGUCUCUGUGAGCCUUUCUUCUUGCUCGUCUUGUCGGGAAGACGAUGGCGCUCGAUCUGAUGGGCCUGUCGAGGAUGGACGAGCAGCUCGCGAUUCAGGAGGCGGCGGCGGCGGGCAUCCGCAGCAUGGAGCACCUCGUCUUCCAGCUCUCCGGGCCUGCCCGGCACAACCAAGUGGACUGCAGGGAGAUCGCCGAUUUCACGGUGACCAAGUUCAAGAAGGUCAUCUCCUUGCUGAAUCGGACAGGCC